CUAGUGGAGAGAAGUAUCCCAGAAGGCACCACUAUGCAAACGAAGAAAUUACAGAGUGCCAGGAAGACAGAGACAGCGUGAUGAGCUCUCAUCAUCAGGUAAAUUCUAGAGACUGUUGUGUGUGAAAAUCCCAGGAGAUCAGCAGUUACAGAAAUACUCAAACCAGCCCAUCUGUCACCAACAAACAUCCAUGCGAUUAUCUAAUCAGCCAAUCGUGUGGCAGCAGUGCAGUGCAUAAAAUCAUGCAGAUACGGGUCAGGAGCUUCAGUCUCUAGAAUUUACUCAGAAUGGUGCCAAAAACAAAAAAAAAACAUCCAGUGAGCAGCAGUUCUGCGGAUGGAAAUGCCUUGUUGACGAGAGAGGUCAGUGGAGAAUGGCCAGACUGGUUUGAACUGACAAAGUCUACGGUAACUCAGAAGAGAUAAUGGAGAUGACUUUAUUGUCCAUCACAGUGUGGCUUACUCACUUCCUCUUUGCCUCGGCUCUAUAUUUCAACACAACUACAACAACACAACUGCCAACAAACACCCUGAGUGACUAUACUGAAAACACACAUAUCACUGGGGCAACAACAGAAACAAACCCAGAACCCAGAAUACUGAUAAAUACAACAGCUUUGUCACCUCAGACCAUGACAUCACAGAACAACACAGUUGCUACAGCUAUGCAUGUGGCAUUUACAGAAGAAGCAAAAUACAUGCAUCAGUUCAAUGGCAGCAAUGAAUCUCAGAAUUACAUUAUGGAUAUCACAAAAGGACCAGAUGAAGGGAGCGUUAGCAGUGCUAGUAAUGUUAUAAUGCACACAAAUACAAGUCCAAUGGAUACCACAGUUUCUUCGAACCCUGCAAGACUGAUACUAAAAAAGGAUGACAAUGAAACAGGAACAAGGUCAAGCACACAUAACACAAGUUACGACAGUGACAGGCACACCAGUUUGGGCAAAGUUCUGGACACACAGACUACCAAUGCAGUCACACAGUCCUUAUCAGACCUUUCCAAUACUGUCACAACAGGGGUAGGGGAUGAGAGAACGAAAGCUGAUGAAGGAAAUUAUGAAAUGUACUCCACCCAAUCAACAUUUGCUAAUUUGAACGAGGAGUCAAGAGGAACACAAGUCACAGAGGGAAGUUAUAGCCUAACAAGUGAACAUAGAGUUCCACUGCACAGUGAGCAACAUUACAACACAGGACAAAGUACAACAGAAGUGAGUACUGCAACACCGAAAACAAGGAACAACUGGAUAACUCCACACAACACAAACACACCAAAGACUACCUCUGCUUACACAACACAUGACCUUACUGUUACAGACAAAACUGAAUAUCACACCUCAAUACCUGUCCUUGUAGCAAAAAAUGGUGGAUACUGGACAGAGCAGCCCAGACGAGAGUACAGUACAGACUCUACAACACAGCAGAGUUUAUACAGACUCAUACUCUCUACAGCACACAUUGAAAGAGAAAAUAGGACUGAAACAGACACCCUAGACACACCCAGUGGCAUCACCAUAAACAACAGCACUAUCAUAGCUAAUGUUAUAACAGACAAUAGCACAAAUGCCACAACCGACAAAACGAACAAAACUGACAGAGACAAUACAAUGUUGCCCAACUGUUUUAACACAAACUCAGAACCUCAGUUUCUGCAAUCAAGGCUGGUCUGCUUCAUCACAAUGUGGACUCUGGCAAUGACUGCUUCAGUUUUCCUUGGAAUAUCUAUUUUCUUGUGCGUGCGUCUGUCAGUCGUUAAAGAGAGGAUGAAACACAGGGGAAGAGGACAAAAAGAGAAGGGAGGACCGAAGUGGGAGAAAGAGAGCCUCUGGGCCAUCCCCAAAGGAUCGGUGCAGGAGAGAGUGGAAUUCUGGUAUGUCAAUGGAUCUACACUGGAGGCAGACAGGAAGGAGAAGCAAAGAAAAAGUGUGGAGAGACUCAAGAGGAAAAAUAAUAAUGACAAGAACGAAUUGUGGAUCCAGCCUAGGGUUACUAUGGAUGAUUUAUCAGAUUUUUGGUUUGCAAAUAGAAGAAUAAAGGAGGAGAGGAGAGAGGACAGAGACAACAUUGAAAGAGAGCAUGCUUGCAGAGCUGUGAACAAUGUCUACCUUUAGAGAGGAGUUUAGAGGAGAGCUUCUUAACUGGUGGAUCGCUACCCAAAAAUGGGUCUCUGGACUAUUUUGAUAUGGAAAAAACAAUGCUGAAUGCAAAUAAUAAAAGACAACUAAUCAUAUAUUGAGCAAAGUUAGGAUUGUGUAUAGUUGUUAAUGCCAAAUGUAAUGCAUCCAAUCAAACUCAAACAAAAUCAAAAUAUGUUAUUUUGAUGCAAAUUCAUCUGUCACUUGGUAAAGAUAGAUGCCAAUGUGAAUAUUGUAAGACAUGCCCUCUUCCUUGAAAACCAUGAACAGCACAUUAAUAAUAAUAAUAAUAAUAAUAAAACGUAUUUAUUUUUUUACACUUUAUUAGGAACACCUGUAUACCUACAUAUUUAUGAAAUUAUCUAAUCAGCCAAUCAUGUGGCAGCAGUCCAGUGCAUAACAUUAUUCAGAUAUGGGUCAGGAGCUUCAGUUAAUGUUCACAUCAACCAUCAGAAUGGAAAAAAAUGUGACCUCAUUGAUUUCGACCAUGGCAUGAUUGUUGGUGCCAGAUGGGCUAGUUUGAGUAUUUCUGUAACUGCUGAUCUCCUGAGAUUUUCAUGCACAACAGUCUCUAGAGUUACUCAGAAUGGUGCCAAAAAAAUAAAUAAGAAAACCAAAAUAAAAUCCAGUUGGCAGCAGUUAUGUGGACAGGAACGCCUUCUUGAUGAGAGACAUCAGCGGAGAAUGGCCAGACUGGUUCGAGCUGACAGAAAGGCUAUAAUAACUCAGAUAACAACGUUUUUCAAGACUUUUUCAUGGUAAUAGCCUAUUGAUAAAUAUAUAAACACAAAUUUGGUUCUGUGUUAGAUUGCCAUUUGAUGUCUAUCAAUGUAAAUUCUGAGUUGUGAAGCAAAACCAGUUGAGAGACACUGGUUUAGACAGUUCUCCAAUAUUCGGCCUAAAACAAAAGGGUGCUUUGAUGGAUACUUUCUGUGAGGAGUACACUUAGAAUUUUCAAGCUUAUAUAGGGUACAUUGGAUGGAAAUGCAGUUCAGUAAAUCAGUCGAACAAUAUUGUCUAGAUUUCAAAAACCUGGAAUGUGGCCAAAUGAGAAUGACGUGACUCCAGAAAGAUAAAUUAGGACUUCCCCUUUCAUAGAAAAGUUUGGUGUGGCCAACUUUAACCACAGAACAUAUUGAUCCAACACUUAAACAUCUGAACAUCACAAUAUUCCAUUCACACCACACCCAAAACUUUUUUACAGAUAUAUUUUGAUUUGUGUAUUGUAUUUAAUUAUGACACCAAAAAGCAAUAAUUUAAAAUAAUUUAAAUAAUUUAAAGGACUAUCCUGUUCUUUAAAUUCUGAUGCUUUUUAUAUACAGGAACACCACUAUCUGCUAAUUAUCACUACAGGUGCAUCUCAGAAAAUUAGAAUAUCGUGGAAAAGUUCCUUAAUUUAAUUCAAAAAGUGGAAUUUUCAUAUAUUCUAGAUUCAUUACACAUAAAGUGAAAUAUUUCAAGCCUUUUUUUGUUUUAAUCUUGAUGAUUACAGCUUACAGCUCAUGGAAAUCAAAAAUCUAGUAUCUCAAAAUAUUAGAAUAAAGAAUUUAUAAUACAGAAAUGUCGACCUUCUGAAAUGUUAAUUUAUGCACUCAAUACUUGGUCGGGGCUCCUUUUGCACGAAUUACUGCAUCAGUGCGGCAUGGCAUGAAGGCAAUCAGCCUGUGGCACUGCUGAGGUGUUGUGGAAGCCUAGGUUGCUUUGAUAGCAGCCUUCAGCUCGUCUGUAUGAUUGGGUCUUUUGCUUCUCAUUUUCCUCUUGACAAUACCCCAUAGAUUCUCUAUGGGGUUUAGGUCAGGUGAGUUGGCUGGCCAAUCAAGCACAGUAAUACCAUGGUCAGCAAACCAGUUACUAGUAGUUUUGGCACUGUGGGCAGGUGCCAAGUCCUGCUGGAAAAGGAAAUCAGCAUCUCCAUAAAGCUUGUCAGCAGAUGGAAGCAUGAAGUGCACUAAAUUCUCCUGGUAGAGGGCUGCAUUGACUCUCAACUUGAGAAAACAUAGUGGACCAACACCAGCAGAUGACAUGGCACCCCAAAUCAUCACUGACUGUGGAAACUUCACACUGGACUUCAAGCAACUUGGAUUCUGUGCCUCUCCAUUCUUCCUCCAGACUCUGGGACCUUGAUUUCCAAAUGAAAUGCAAAAUGUACUGUCAUCUGAAAAGAGGACUUUGGACCACUGAGCAACGGUCCAGUUCUUUUUCUCCUUAGCCCAGGUAAGACGCUUCUGACGUUGUCUCUGGUUCAGGAGUGGCUUGACACUAGGAAUGUCACUGCCACUGUAAUUCAUGCAAAAUUCUUUAUUCUAAUAUUUUGAGAUACUGGAUUUUUUUAUUUCCAUGAGCUGUAAGCCGUAAUCAUAAAAAAAAAAAAAAAAAAAAAGGCUUGAAUUAUUUCACUUUGUGUGUAAUGAAUCUAGAAUAUAUGAAAGUUCACUUUUUGAAUUAAAUUAGCGAAAAAAAUUAACUUUUCCACGAUAUUCUAAUUUUUGGAGAUGCACCUGUAUAUGCUGCCACUUUCACUUUGAUAGGACUAGCUGUGGCAUGCCCAAGAAAGAUUCUAGGGGUGAAUACCACAGAUAAACACAUUUUUGUAAAUCUCCCAGUGUUGUCUUAUGUGGGUCUUUGUAAACAAUAUCUUGUGAAAUAAAAUAAAAUAAAAGCAAUGUUAAGAUAUUAUGUAUUGUGCUAAAAUGAAACUUGCAAUUAAGAGUACAAUUAGAAAAUGCUGUUACAAUCAUCAAACACAUGCAUGUACACACUCAAACACACACACUUACACAUAGAUGCUUAACUGUAAAGUUGUGCAGACAUAGAGUCAAAACCCACAAACGUGUCAACACACCCAUAAUAAUUUAGAGUGUGAUGAAACACUUUGCUUUUUUUUUUGCAACUUUACCAAUCUUUCAGCUGCAGCCUCUGUUGGACAGAUACACGCUGUGAUAUGAUGAGAACUUGAGAGGGUGGAGAAAUUAAAGAGGGCAUGUGGUAAGAGAGAUAGAGAGGAAGAGAAAUAAACAGGAUAUAGGUGUUCACUACAUGUGAAAGUGUGAAGUGGUUCACAUGUGCAAUUUGGUCUUGGUGGUUGGAGUUUGCAGUGAGUUUACACAGAGAUAUGAAGCUGAAAUCUCCCUUGCUACAUUAAGAGAGAGAGAGAGAGAAAGUGGAAGAACACGGCUGUGUAAAACUUUCCGACCUAGAUUCAUGCAAGAUUACUCCAGCAGAACGAUUACUACGCAAGAAGAUGAGAACCUGAAGAUGAACUUAUGAAAGCUUCGGCUAACAGUAUUCCUUUUACUUCAGCAUUUCACAUUGUAGAGCCACAAAAGAGGACAAGACAAUAUCUGCUCUCACUAUCUUGUUCUAAGACUGAGAUCACAAUAGAAAGCUCCUAGAGUUUUCCUUGAGUGACCUUUCAGCCAAUAUAUACAACAUGAGACUAGAUUUUAGCCAUUUACUGCUGUCUCUUGCUACUGGACUUUGUUUCAAUUUAAUUUAUGCACAAGAGAGAAAUGAGACAGACACAAAUGUCACCACUACAUUACUGAAUUAUAAGACUGUGGAUGCAACCUUAAGUCCUGAAGUCACUGUUGCAUUUAUACCUGAAAAUGUUGUCACUGAAUUACCAACAACAUCAGAUCAGAAUCAUGCAGUCUCCACUCCUGAAAAUGAAAUGAGCACCAUACAUGAAGAGCCAACAGUUGAGGCUACUACGCUACUCAUUACUGAGACUGAACAAACAACAAGCCAGACAAAACCAAAGUCUGAUUCUGAAGGAACAACUGCUCAAGGACAACACACCACAAUGGCCUUGGAGCCAAUGGAAGCAAGCACCACUGCUGUGGCUGUUAGGAUAGAAACAGGUAUGACUGCACCAAUAACUUCAGAAUACCUGCCAAGCACAAGUCGAUAUGAAACCACUGUUGGCUUUAUUAAUUAUGAGUUGACCAGUGCUAUGGAACACAGAGUUGAGAUCACCACAGAAACGUUUGCCUUGACUACAGCUUCAACGGCACAGAAUUCCACACCCAACACUUCACAACCACCUGCAGAAGGAACUGAGUCCCUGAUCAUCACGUCCAGCCCCGAGGACACCACGUUCCUCACUACUACCACAGAAGCCUCCACAUCAACUCUGAUCUCCACCUCAAAGUUCUUCUUUCGUGGUGCUCCUGACCUACAUCAUUCACUGUCUGUAGAUGAAUCAGUUUCCACCCAUUUAACACCUAUCUUGCAUACACAGACCAACUGGCUAUUAAUAAUAAUAGUGUGUGUAAUCAUCAUUUGUGUGCUGUUAGGAGUCUUCCUUUUUUUUGUCAAAUGGCGAAAGAAAAACGCCUCGCACAAGUUCAGCCCAGGGUACGUGAACGGACGAAGCAAACGGUCCAUGAAAAAGAAAGGGGCAGAGGAUGAUGCGUGGGCUGGGCCUGUGAAUCUAGAGGCUGGAGAGAGAGUGGAUUGCGAUGGAAAAGAACAGAGGGAUCUGCUGUCUGAUGAGGGGAGAGGGGAUGGAGAUGAUAUGCCGCUCAGCACAUUUGCUACCCUGGAAUCAGGUGACACAUCUAACGGUGGAGUGGGUGGGGACGGAACCACAGAGGCAAAGAAAUGGGAGGAGCAGGAGCCUCUGCUUUACAUAGAUGAGGAUUUGGAGGAAGCAGUGGCAGAGAAUGAGAGACAGAAAGGAGAUAAAAACAGUGGGAGACCGGCUGUGAAAGAAAUUUAAGCGUUCUGUCUCACCACAGAUGUUUAAAAGUUAUCUUCUGUUCACAGAACUGACUUUUAAUCAUAGGUUUAAUAGAAUUGAUGAUUUUGAUUACUUAAUGUCUUGAUUUCUUUUUGUCAUAAAGAAGGACUAAAUAAUAACUGUGUUUAAUGUAACUCAAUAAUGGUGCAAUGUUUAACUGCUGCUUUACACUUCUUGCUCACUUUCCUUAAUCUGAAUAUUAGUUGAUUUUUCACACUUCCUGAUCUUAUCAAAUGAUGUCCAAAUAUGCAAUCAAAUGAAUCUGAAGAAAAAAUUAUGAAAUACAAAAUUGAAAAAAUAAAAUAAAAUAAUAAUAAUAAUAAUUACACAAAACAUUUUGGCACUUCCUAUGGCCACCAAUGGUGCAGUAUUUUUCUGUAACUUUAUGCAUCUUUUUGGUGUGGAUACCAACAUAUUUACAUUUUCUAAAUUUUAUGUUUUGGCAGCAAAUAUGUAUUAUUUGAAAGAAAAUGCAACAGUGACACUACUUUUUUCUUCUUCUUUCCAUUGCUGUUUAUAUUUGAAUUGAACAACCAAAUAAAUAUCAUACAAACUGUU